rnacentral:tRNA from 1 species
ACUAGAAUAAUUUAAUUAAAAUAUCAAUUUGUGGAGUUGAAUAUGUAGGGCUUACUUCUAGUA